UACGGAGGGUGCAAACGUUGCUCGGAAUCAUUGGGCGUAAAGAGCGUGUAGGCGGCCAGGUAGGUCGGUUGUGAAAACUGGAGGCUCAACCUUCAGAGGUCGACCGAAACCAUCUGGCUAGAGUCCGGGAGAGGAGAGUGGGAGUUCCUGGUGUAGCGGUGAAAUGCGCAGAUAUCAGGAAGAACACCCGUGGCGAAAGCGGCUCUCUGGAACGGUACUGACGCUGAGACGCGAAAGCGUGGGGAGCGAACAGG
rnacentral:rRNA from 1 species